UACGUAGGGUGCAAGCGUUGUCCGGAAUUACUGGGCGUAAAGCGUGCGCAGGCGGUUCUCCAAGUCCGUUGUGAAAGCCCCGGGCUCAACCUGGGAAUGGCAGUGGAAACUAGGGGACUGGAAUCUGGCAGAGGGGGGUGGAAUGCCGCGUGUAGCAGUGAAAUGCGUAGAGAUGCGGCGGAACACCGAUGGCGAAGGCAGCCCCCUGGGCUGAGAUUGACGCUCAGGCACGAAAGCGUGGGGAGCAAACAGG
rnacentral:rRNA from 1 species